rnacentral:rRNA from 1 species
ACUCGAGUGGCGAACGGGUGAGUAACACGUGAGUAACCUGCCCUUGACUUUGGGAUAACUUCAGGAAACUGGGGCUAAUACCGGAUAGGAGCUCCUGCUGCAUGGUGGGGGUUUGGAAAGUUUCGGCGGUUGGGGAUGGACUCGCGGCUUAUCAGCUUGUUGGUGGGGUAGUGGCUUACCAAGGCUUUGACGGGUAGCCGGCCUGAGAGGGUGACCGGCCACAUUGGGACUGAGAUACGGCCCAG